UACGGAGGUCCCAAGCGUUGUUCGGAUUCACUGGGCGUAAAGGGUGCGUAGGUGGUCGGGUAAGUCUGAUGUGAAAUCUCCGAGCUUAACUCGGAAAUGGCAUUGGAUACUAUUCGGCUAGAGGGUUUGAGGGGGGACUGGAAUACUUGGUGUAGCAGUGAAAUGCGUAGAUAUCAAGUGGAACACCAGUGGCGAAGGCGAGUCCCUGGAAAACUCCUGACACUGAGGCACGAAAGCUAGGGGAGCAAACAGG
rnacentral:rRNA from 1 species